rnacentral:misc_RNA from 1 species
UCGUAACAAGGUUUCCGUAGGUGAACCUGCGGAAGGAUCAUUACCGAGUGCGGGCCCUCGCGGCCCAACCUCCCACCCGUGUCUCUCUCUACCUGUUGCUUUGGCGGGCCCACCGGGGCCACCCGGUCGCCGGGGGACGUCGUCCCCGGGCCCGCGCCCGCCGAAGCGCUCUGUGAACCCUGAUGAAGAUGGGCUGUCUGAGUCGAAUGAAAAUUGUCAAAACUUUCAACAAUGGAUCUCUUGGUUCCGGCAUCGAUGAAGAACGCAGCGAAAUGCGAUAAGUAAUGUGAAUUGCAGAAUUCCGUGAAUCAUCGAAUCUUUGAACGCACAUUGCGCCCCCUGGCAUUCCGGGGGGCAUGCCUGUCCGAGCGUCAUUUCUGCCCUCAAGCCCGGCUUGUGUGUUGGGCGUGGUCCCCCCGGGGACCUGCCCGAAAGGCAGCGGCGACGUCCGUCUGGUCCUCGAGCGUAUGGGGCUCUGUCACUCGCUCGGGACGGAUCGGCGGAGGUUGGUCACCACCACAGUUUUACCACGGUUGACCUCGGAUCAGGUAGGAGUUACCCGCUGAACUUAAGCAUAUCAAUAA